rnacentral:lncRNA from 1 species
AUGUGCGUCAUUCAGUCACUGGUUCUAGCCCAGAGACAGAGAGACAGACUGACUCAGACCAACUACUCUCUCUCUCUGCCUCUUUCUCUGUUUCUCUCAUUGUUUCUCUCUACCUCUUUCUCUGUUUCUCUCAUUGUCUCUCUCUCUACCUCUUUCUCUGUUUAUCUCAUUGUUUCUCUCUCUACCUCUUUCCUUCUCUGUUUCUCUCAUUGCUUCUCUCUACCUCUUUCUCUGUGUCUCUCUCUACCUCUUUCUCUGUUUCUCUCAUUGUUUCUCUCUCUACCUCUUUCUUUUUCUGUUUCUCUCAUUGUUUCUCUCUACCUCUUUCCCCAUUUCUCUCAUUGUUUCUCUCUCUACCUCUUUCUCUGUUUCUCUCUCUACCUCUUUCCCCAUUUCUCUCAUUGUUUCUCUCUCUACCUCUUUCUUUCCCUGUUUCUCUCAUUGUUUCUCUCUCUACCUCUUUCCCCAUUUCUCUCAUUGUUUCUCUCUCUACCUCUUUCUUUCCCUGUUUCUCUCAUUGUUUCUCUCUCUACCUCUUUCCCUGUUUCUCUCAUUGUUUCUCUCUACCUCUUUAUUUCCCUGUUCCUCUCAUUGUUUCUCUCUCUACCUCUUUCCCCGUUUCUCUCAUUGUUUCUCACUACCUCUUUCUUUCUCUGUUUCUCUCAUUGUUUCUCUCUACCUCUUUCUCUGUUUCUCUCUCUACCUCUUUCCCUGUUUCUCUCAUUGUUUCUCUCUCUACCUCUUUCCCUGUUUCUCUCAUUGUUUCUCUCUACCUCUUUCUUUCUCUGUUUCUCUCAUUGUUUCUCUCUCUACCUCUUUCUUUCUAUUUAUCUCAUUGUUUCUCUCUCUACCUCUUUCCCUGUUUCUCUCAUUGUUUCUCUCUACCUCUUUCCCUGUUUCUCUCAUUGUUUCUCUCUACCUCUUUCUUUCUCUGUUUCUCUCAUUGUUUCUCUCUCUACCUCUUUCCCUGUUUCUCUCAUUGUUUCUCUCUACCUCUUUAUUUCCCUGUUCCUCUCAUUGUUUCUCUCUCUACCUCUUUCCCCGUUUCUCUCAUUGUUUCUCACUACCUCUUUCUUUCUCUGUUUCUCUCAUUGUUUCUCUCUACCUCUUUCUAUGUUUCUCUCUCUACCUCUUUCCCUGUUUCUCUCAUUGUUUCUCUCUACCUCUUUCUCUGAUUCUCUCAUUGUUUCUCUCUCUACCUCUUUCCCCAUUUCUCUCAUUGUUUCUCUCUCUACCUCUUUCUUUCCCUGUUUCUCUCAUUGUUUCUCUCUCUACCUCUUUCCCUGUUUCUCUCAUUGUUUCUCUCUACCUCUUUAUUUCCCUGUUCCUCUCAUUGUUUCUCUCUCUACCUCUUUCCCCGUUUCUCUCAUUGUUUCUCACUACCUCUUUCUUUCUCUGUUUCUCUCAUUGUUUCUCUCUACCUCUUUCUCUGUUUCUCUCUCUACCUCUUUCCCUGUUUCUCUCAUUGUUUCUCUCUACCUCUUUCUCUGA